UCUUCACAUUGUCCCAUCUCCAUCUUCAAACGCACAAUUUCCUCCAUGCCUCUCUCUACAUACAUGUUCCCCUGCCUCCAAUCUUUGUCCCUUCUCUAUCUUCAAACCCCUAAACUAUAGUCUGCAGGCGCCAGCCACCUACUCCUUUAGUGGCAGAAAGUUUUUGAUUUUGAGACUUUACCAUCUGACCAGAUUCUCUCCGCAAACAUUACCGAUUCGAAUUUAGGAUUGAGGUCAAUCUCGAUGCCAUGACACAUCUAAGAAUUUGGAAGACCAUUUUGAAGAAUGCUAGCACUCUAGUAGAGAAGUUCUCCAUGGAAGUCAUGGACACAAACUUGAGUUAUGCAAGGUGGGAUAAUAAAUUUGUGCUGUCCUACUAUGCAAGAAGCAAAGGCAACCAGGAGAUUUCAAAGGGUGAUUGGAGAUGAUAAUUUAAAUGGAAGUUUUAGCUAGAUGACAUGACUAACAAUUCCUAUUAAGAAGAGUAUUUAGUAAACCGUAUAUCAAUGAUAUGUUAUCAAUGACUAAGUUUUGGUUAUAUAUAUAGCAAAAAAUUGUAAGAGUCAUGAAGGUAAAAUUGAAAAGCUACAUACUGAUGCUUUUGUAAUUACUUAUUUGAAAUUCAAAUCGGUUUCAAAAAUGUAGUUUGUGGUUUAGAGCAUUUUCUGUUUUCACUAAUUGUGUUUUGUUUCCAUGUACCUGUUUUUAAAAUACAUGUAAAUUUGGUCAAAUAUUAAUUUUUAUGCCUUACAGGGAGGAGUACAUAAAUUUGAUUUUGGAAGAUGUUGGAAAAG